AUUUUUGAGAGUUUGAUCCUGGCUCAGGAUAAACGCUGGCGGCGUGCCUUAGGCAUGCAAGUCGAGCGAUCCCGAUAGCAAUAUCGGGAUAGCGGCAGACGGGUGAGUAAUGGUAAGGAAUCUACCUCGAAGUGAAGGACAUCUCGUCGAAAGACGGGGUAAUCCUGCAUAAGCCCUCCGAUUCGGAGGGGAAAGGGCGUAACUGCCCGCUUUGAGAGGAGCCUUACUCCUAUCAGCUUGUUGGUGGGGUAAAAGCCUACCAAGGCUAUGACGGGUAGCUGGUGUGAGAGCAUGUCCAGCCACAAUGGCACUGA
rnacentral:ncRNA from 1 species